GCGGCUGCGACAGGAGCGGUCUGAGGAGCUGCUGGGACCAGUAUGAAGGUAACAGUUGUGGUCAGAAAACUACAUCUGGGCCUGGCUGGAAAUCGUUUUUGCCAGUGCAGAUAAUGCCUUGUGUCGAAGAUUCCACUACUUACAAGGAAGGAGGUUUCCUGUCUCGUUUGCCUGUGGGACAAGGGGAGAAGAACAGAUUCUGUGACACAGAUGGGAAUGUGGACGAGCUCCUGGGUCCCCAGUGCGGAUGGGUGUCCCGCCACCCAGAGCUGCCUGGGCAGACAGACAAAGGGACGGGCAGAGGACGUGUGGGCGAGUUGUGCGUGCCCCGUGGAGUGUGGGUCCUGGUCCUGGCUCUGGUUCUGCUCCUGGUUUUGCUGCUGGCU
rnacentral:lncRNA from 1 species